UUUAUUGCCUUAUAGUUAUUCAUAAUAAUAAUAUAGUUAUUCAUAAUAAUCCAUAAUAAUAAUAAUACUAUUAUUACUUUAGUCUGUGUUUUGUCUGGUGUUAUUUUCCCUUUAAAUAAAUCUGAACCCCCUGGGACCUGGUUUCACUGUAUCUAGUGGAGGUUCUUAAGGUGAUGAGAAUCUUGAAGGCCUGUCCAACUUCUGGUACAGAUCAGGAUUCUGCCAUGACACAGUUGUCUUGAAAUACUCUUUCAUGCUUCAAAGGACUCAUGGGGGGAGGGGCAGAGGAAUUUAUGGUAAUGUAAGAAAGAAUGCCUCCUGUAAUGCUUUUCAUUACAAAAAAAGGCUCUGAGGGCCAUGAUGAGUCACCCCAGCGUUCUAAAACAUUAUUAGAGAGGAAAUAAAGAUAUCUCUUCCUGUGCUUGCCCUCUGGAUGGCGUCAAAGCCUCCUUCCCACUCCAAGAAAAAGACCUAGUCAGCUAGUAAAAUCUGGGCCUAGUGAUCCUUCUUCUCUUCCCUCUGGUACUUGGAAAUAGUAUCAGAACUCACUGAACAGGAAGUCUGCAGUCUGCUCAGGAAGGAGCUUUCAAAGCAUCAGAUCCUGGGAUGUCACCCUUAGCCCUUGCUCCAGACCACACGGAUUCAACCUCUGGCCGCACUCUCACUAGGCAAGUUGGUAGUCCUCUCUGGGAAGCUGUGAGUAGUGAUAGUGCCAACCUCAGAAGACCAUGGAAGGGUCCAAGCGACAUGAUGGCCAUGAGGAAAGUGACACAUCGCUGCAGAUAACAUGCUGGUGGAUGAGUGAGUGGAUCCUUGUGUGACUGGAAUGGAUGUAUCAAAUGAGGAAACUGGAGCAACUUUGCACAAUGAGUAAGUUACAAUCCCGGAAUUCAAACAGUGUCAGUCAUAUUACCAAAUUUCAUGGCUCUCUAAUUUCCAGGACUUAAAAGAAGCUCAUUUUUACUUAUAUUUGAUUUAUGGCAGUGCUGAAAUUCUCUUCAAACUCAUUUGUCUUUAUCAUGAAUUUUGCCCACUUUUCUAUCAGGGCCAUCAUUCUUUUUAUUAGAAAUUGGGCUGAACCUCUUCCAUUCUUUCCUCUUUGCCAUUUGUCAUU